UACGGAGGAUUCAAGCGUUAUCCGGAUUUAUUGGGUUUAAAGGGUGCGUAGGCGGUUUGAUAAGUUAGAGGUGAAAUUUCGGGGCUCAACCCUGAACGUGCCUCUAAUACUGUUGAGCUAGAGAGUAGUUGCGGUAGGCGGAAUGUAUGGUGUAGCGGUGAAAUGCUUAGAGAUCAUACAGAACACCGAUUGCGAAGGCAGCUUACCAAACUAUAUCUGACGUUGAGGCACGAAAGCGUGGGGAGCAAACAGG
rnacentral:rRNA from 2 species